UGGUUAAAAAGCUCGUAGUUGGAUCUCAACAGCCUUGAAGCGGUUAACUUUGUAGUUUUACUGCUUUAUAGGCUGUGCUUUUGCUGGAGGUUUAGGGGUGCUCUUGAUCGAGUGUCUCUGGAUGCCAGCAGGUUUACUUUGAAAAAAUUAGAGUGCUCAAAGCAGGCUAAAAUGCCUGAAUAUUCGUGCAUGGAAUAAUAGAAUAGGAUGUCGAUCCUAUUUUGUUGGUUUUCGGGACUCGACAUAAUGAUAAAUAGGGACAGUCGGGGGCAUUUGUAUUCAAACGACAGAGGUGAAAUUCUUGGACCGUUUGAAGACAAACUACUGCGAAAGCAUUUGCCAAGAAUGUUUUCAUUAAUCAAGAACGAAAGUUAGAGGUUCGAAGGCGAUUAGAUACCGCCCUAGUUCUAACCAUAAACGAUGCCAGCUAGCGAUCUGCCUGCGUUUUUACUGUAGACUGGGCAGGAAGCUUCCGGGAAACCAAAGCAUUUGGGUUCCAGGGGAAGUAUGGUUGCAAAGCUGAAACUUAAAGGAAUUGACGGAAGGGCACCACCAGGAGUGGAGCCUGUGGCUUAAUUUGACUCAACACGGGAAAUCUCACCAGGCCCGGACACUGGAAGGAUUGACAGAUUGAUAGCUCUUUCUUGAUUCGGUGGGUGGU
rnacentral:rRNA from 1 species